GAGCGCCCCGCAAGGGGAGCGGCAGACGGGAGAGUAACACGUGGGAACGUGCCCUUUGGUUCGGAACAACACAGGGAAACUUGUGCUAAUACCGGAUAAGCCCUUACGGGGAAAGAUUUAUUGCCAAAGGAGCGGCCCGCGUCUGAUUAGCUUGUUGGUGAGGUAACGGCUCACCAAGGCUACGAUCAGUAGCUGGUCUGAGAGGAUGAUCAGCCUCACUGGGACUGAGACACGGCCCAGACUCCUACGGGAGGCAGCAGUGGGGAAUAUUGGACAAUGGGCGCAAGCCUGAUCCAGCCAUGCCGCGUGGAUGAUGAAGGCCUUAGGGUUGUAAAGUCCUUUCGGCGGGGAAGAUAAUGACGGUACCCGCAGAAGAAGCCCCGGCUAACUUCGUGCCAGCAGCCGCGGUAAUACGAAGGGGGCUAGCGUUGCUCGGAAUCACUGGGCGUAAAGCGCACGUAGGCGGCUUUCUAAGUCAGAGGUGAAAUCCUGGAGCUCAACUCCAGAACUGCCUUUGAUACUGGAGAGCUUGAGUCCGGGAGAGGUGAGUGGAACUGCGAGUGUAGAGGUGAAAUUCGUAGAUAUUCGCAAGAACACCAGUGGCUAAGGCGGCUCACUGGCCCGGUACUGACGCUGAGGUGCGAAAGCGUGGGGA
rnacentral:rRNA from 1 species